rnacentral:rRNA from 1 species
UCAGAGUGAACGCUGGCGGCGUGCCUAAUACAUGCAAGUCGAACGAUGAAGCUUUUAGCUUGCUAGAAGUGGAUUAGUGGCGCACGGGUGAGUAAUGCAUAGGUUAUGUGCCCUUUAGUCUGGGAUAGCCACUGGAAACGGUGAUUAAUACUGGAUACUCCCUACGGGGGAAAGGGUCUCCGCUAAAGGAUCAGCCUAUGUCCUAUCAGCUUGUUGGUGAGGUAAUGGCUCACCAAGGCUAUGACGGGUAUCCGGCCUGAGAGGGUGAUCGGACACACUGGAACUGAGACACGGUCCAGACUCCUACGGGAGGCAGCAGUAGGGAAUAUUGCUCAAUGGGGGAAACCCUGAAGCAGCAACGCCGCGUGGAGGAUGAAGGUUUUAGGAUUGUAAACUCCUUUUGUGAGAGAAGAUUAUGACGGUAUCUCACGAAUAAGCACCGGCUAACUCCGUGCCAGCAGCCGCGGUAAUACGGAGGGUGCAAGCGUUACUCGGAAUCACUGGGCGUAAAGAGUGCGCAGGCGGGGUGGUAAGUCAGAUGUGAAAUCCUGUAGCUUAACUACAGAACUGCAUUUGAAACUAUCACUCUAGAGUAUGGGAGAGGUAGGUGGAAUUCUUGGUGUAGGGGUAAAAUCCGUAGAGAUCAAGAGGAAUACUCAUUGCGAAGGCGACCUACUGGAACAUUACUGACGCUCAUGCACGAAAGCGUGGGGAGCAAACAGGAUUAGAUACCCUGGUAGUCCACGCCCUAAACGAUGAAUGCUAGUUGUUGCCCUGCUUGUCAGGGCAGUAAUGCAGCUAACGCAUUAAGCAUUCCGCCUGGGGAGUACGGUCGCAAGAUUAAAACUCAAAGGAAUAGACGGGGACCCGCACAAGCGGUGGAGCAUGUGGUUUAAUUCGAAGAUACGCGAAGAACCUUACCUAGGCUUGACAUUGAUAGAAUCCUAUAGAGAUAUGGGAGUGCCCUUCGGGGAGCUUGAAAACAGGUGCUGCACGGCUGUCGUCAGCUCGUGUCGUGAGAUGUUGGGUUAAGUCCCGCAACGAGCGCAACCCUCGUCCUUAGUUGCUAGCAGCUCGGCUGAGCACUCUAAGGAGACUGCCUUCGUAAGGAGGAGGAAGGUGAGGACGACGUCAAGUCAUCAUGGCCCUUACGCCUAGGGCUACACACGUGCUACAAUGGGGCAUACAAUGAGGAGCAAUACCGCGAGGUGGAGCAAAUCUCUAAAAUGUCUCUCAGUUCGGAUUGUAGUCUGCAACUCGACUACAUGAAGCUGGAAUCGCUAGUAAUCGCAAAUCAGCAAUGUUGCGGUGAAUACGUUCCCGGGUCUUGUACUCACCGCCCGUCACACCAUGGGAGUUGUAUUCGCCUUAAGUCGGGAUACUAAAUUGGUUACCGCCCACGGCGGAUGCAGCGACUGGGGUGAAGUCGUAACAAGGUAACCGUAGGUGAACCUGC